rnacentral:rRNA from 1 species
UACGUCGUUGACCAUCUCGGGGCUGACCUAGUCAGUUUCAAUAGGAGUCUGCUUCUAACCGUCUCUUGACUGAGACUAGCGACUUGUGCGCUAACUUUUGACUUGACCUCAAAUCAGGUAGGACUACCCGCUGAACUUAAGCAUAUCAAUAAGCGGAGGAAAAGAAACUAACAAGGAUUCCCCUAGUAACUGCGAGUGAAGCGGGAAAAGCUCAAAUUUAAAAUCUGGCGGUCUCCGGCCGUCCGAGUUGUAAUUUAGAGAAGCGUUAUCCGUGCUGGACCGUGUAUAAGUCUCCUGGAAUGGAGCGUCAUAGAGGGUGAGAAUCCCGUCUUUGACACGGACUACCAGUGCAUUGUGAUGCGCUCUCGACGAGUCGAGUUGUUUGGGAAUGCAGCUCAAAAUGGGUGGUAAAUGCCAUCUAAAGCUAAAUAUUGGCGAGAGACCGAUAGCGAACAAGUACCGUGAGGGAAAGAUGAAAAGAACUUUGGAAAGAGAGUUAAACAGUACGUGAAAUUGUCGAAAGGGAAACGGUUGCAGUCAGUCGCGUCCGCCGGGGAUCAACCUUGCUUUUGCUUGGCGUAUUUCCCGAUGGAUGGGUCAGCAUCAGUUUUGACCGCAGUUGAAAGGCUGGAGGAAUGUGGCACCUUCGGGUGUGUUAUAGCCUCCUGUCAUAUGCUGCGGUUGGGACUGAGGAACUCAGCACGCCGAAAGGCCGGGAUUCGUCCACGUUCGUGCUUAGGAUGCUGGCAUAAUGUCUGUAACCGACCCGUCUUGAAACACGGACCAAGGAGUCUAACAUGCACGCGAGUGUUUGGGUGGCAAACCCGAGCGCGUAAUG